rnacentral:rRNA from 1 species
UACGAAGGGGGCUAGCGUUACUCGGAUUGACUGGGCGUAAAGGGCGCGUAGGCGGUUUGUACAGUCAGACGUGAAAUUCCUGGGCUCAACCUGGGGGCUGCGUUUGAUACGUGCAGACUUGAGUUCGGAAGAGGGUCGUGGAAUUCCCAGUGUAGAGGUGAAAUUCGUAGAUAUUGGGAAGAACACCGGUGGCGAAGGCGGCGACCUGGUCCGAUACUGAUGCUGAGGCGCGAAAGCGUGGGGAGCAAACAGG